CUUCCCUGCAGUAUGUAAAGUCUUAGAGGUAGGAAAAAUAGAAUUUCUUAUGAAGAAUUAGGAAAGCAAAUGUUAGAGAAAAAUAAAAGGAGAACCUUGCGAAAUAGCCAGCGGGGGGACUCUGGAAGAAGAAGCAUUAGGCUGAACUGCAGCAGAGCUGGAACUCCUGCAAUCCCAAGCAUCCACCGCCAUGUUCCUGGUGCCUUGAAAACACAUGGCAAGUUAUAGCAUUGUCGUAUUUACCAAACAGAACAUGUGAUGUACAAGAGAAGCCUCUGAAAUGCAGAGAGGGGCAGUCAUAGAUGCCAUUCCAACACCGAGUCCAACAAAAACUCUACCAAUGAUGAGAAGAGCUGGGCCAGGAGCAGAAGCCAUGAUAACAGCUCCAGUGAAGAAUAGGAAAUCAGCUAUGAGGAUUGCACUUCUCCUCCCAUAUCGGUCAUUCGCCCAUCCACCAAUUGCUGCUCCUAUGAUUGCUCCGGCAACUGCCAUACUCACAAUGCUCUCCUAUUUAUGGGUCAUAAUUUACAGUCAGGAUGCGCCAUAUAUAAUCGGUCCAAAGUGUGUUGCUAAUGUUAUUUCUAUUAGAAAUUUUUUUAAAAAAUCAUAUUAGAAUUAACUUGAAUUUUGAGUACAUUAGGGUUGAUUAUGGAUUUUAUUGUUUCGUCAAAGUAAAGAAUCUCCAAGUUGUUAAAA